rnacentral:rRNA from 1 species
UGGCCUACGGGACGCAGCAGUGGGGAAUAUUGGGCAAUGGAGGCAACUCUGACCCAGCAAUGCCGCGUGAGUGAUGAAGGUAAUUUUAUUGUAAAGCUCUUUUCUUUGGAACGAAUAAAUGACGGUACCAAAGGAAUAAGCCCCGGCUAACUACGUGCCAGCAGCCGCGGUAAUACGUAGGGGGCAAGCGUUAUCCGGAUUUACUGGGUGUAAAGGGAGCGUAGACGGACUUGCAAGUCUGAUGUGAAAAUCCGGGGCCCAACCCCGGAACUGCAUUGGAAACUGUAUAUCUAGAGUGUCGGAGG